UUUUUUUUUUCGCCAGACAGUCCCUUCCAAAGAACCUUCACUGAUAUGAUAUCUUUUGAGUGCAAAUGUUUAAAUCAAUUAUAACUACUAGAUGUUCAAUAUACGACAUUCUCAUCUAAGUGAAUAUCUUCAUGAUUAAUAAUAACACGAGAAGAGUCAUAAAUAUACUUUUGAAGCAUAGAAAUGUGAAAGACCCAAUGAACUCCUAACAGAUCUGGUGGAAGAGCUAAGUGAUAAGCUAUAGGUCCAACUCUCUCCAAAAUCUCAAACGGUCCAAUGAGCCUUGGACAUAGUUUACCCUUCUUACUGAACCGCAAAACUUCUUUCAUUGGUGAAACAAGUAAAAGAAAAAAAACAAGCAUGAUCUCCCACAGUGAACUCUAAGGGAUGACACCUCUUGUCAGAAUAAGACCUCUUCCUACUUUGAGUUGUCACUAAAAAUCACAGAUCAAUUUAACCUUUUCAAUAAUAUCUUGAAUCAACUCUAGACGCACUAGUUUAGACUAACCAACCUCAAACCAUCCUAUCGAAAACAUACAUCAUCUAUACACAAUGUUACAAAAGACGCCACUUUAAUACUAGAUUGGUAACUAUUUAUAUGAAAAUUAUAUCAUAGAAAAACAUUGAUCAACUUCCUCCAAUAUUAACAACAAAAGCACGAAACAUAUUCUCUAUGUAUUGUAUAGUUUUGACAGAUUGACCAUCAAUCCGAUGGUAAUGAUUGUACUAAGAUUAAAAACGGGUUCCCAUUUCAGAUAGACUUCCAAAACAGAGCAGUCAACUGAGCCAUGUUGCUAGAGAUAGUAGAGAUUGACAUACCAUGUAAAGAAAGGAUCUCGUUUAAAUAAAUCUUAACAUAAUGAUCUACGGAUGGUUUAAAGUUUCUACUGUUGCAUAUAUGUAAAAUGGUCUACUGUUGGCACAAUUCCAUUAGCAUUCUUGCUGUAACUAACUAAAAUUCAACAAUAGACCUUAGAAUCAUAUCUCUUUUAGUUCAAUGGUCUAUUACUUUAGGCAUUUGGAACCAUACUUUCACAUCUUACAAUCAUUAAAACAGUAUACUCAAGGUUCUCACUCUUGUGACAUCUGUAAGACCACCCCCAACAAGAACUUAUAUAAGGUUGCAACAUUACUUUCAAACAAAACACGCAAGGAAUUGAACAUAAAAUUAAAGGUACCGAACUUAAAUUAUGUCUUGAACAAUGAUGUAUGGAGGUUUUGGGAGUAGCACUUCACACACUUCUAGUUUUAUUUGACACCCUGCUUUAACUAUAAUCAUUGCAGCAUAUCAAAAUCUCCUUUCCACCAACAUGCUUCCGCUGCGCAACUCUGAUUUGUUUGGUAAGUAGUUUAUGACCGUAUUCCAUAAUACUCACCUAAUUUACUCUCUACUGUUUCAAUUUAUCAACUCGUUAUCUAAUAACCCAAGAAACAUAUAGUAAGAAAUAUUGAGAGGUUUAAAAAUUAGUCUUCAAGAGCUUAUAAAUAAAAAAUAUUUGUUUCAUUCAUUCCAGAAGUUAAUCACCUUGAAUGACUAUCACAGGGUAUCAUUCUAUUAUAACUAGUAUUUACGUUAUAUAAACGACCUACUUCAUAUUUAAUUUACAUCUUAAUAGUCUACCAACCAAGCCUAGACAUACUCAAUCCAAAUGUAUUCCUAAAUCAAGGAUUAUUAAAUUUCAAGUUUAAUAAUAUCCUUAUCAAGGCCUAAACUUUUACUGAUAAAUAUGUCAAUAGCCUAGAUGCUACUAAUCAAUGCAGAGUUAAUAUGUGGUUUUCCGCCUGUUUCUAUUGCUUAGGAAUUUCACAGAUGAGUAAUUUUUUUAUUUUGGUGACUCAUAAGAAAAGGUAGAAUUUUGAGACUUGAAAAGAAAUUUCUCAAUCCUAGUAGGUCUUCAGUACAAUCUUGAUUUGAAAACUCCCAGGUUUAUGACCGUUAUCAAACAACUCGUCAAUUCAAAGUAAACAAUAUUCACUCGUUACUACCCUACUAUUCGAUUCUCUACCACACAAUACCACAUGGGUACGGUUCAUCUUUCUUCCCUAUAAACAAUAUCACAGCUUCCCAAGGAAAAGAAGUUGGACUAAUAAAUAUCUUAUUGAGAAAAUCAUAUAGCUUCUCCCUUAACACUUNNNNNNNNNNNNNNNNNNNNNNNNNNNNNNNNNNNNNNNNNNUCAGGAAAAACAUUAGGAAACUCACGUUUUUGGAACUAUUUAAUGUUUUUUCUUCACUCACUUGUAUUUCCAUAAUCAAGAAUAAUUAUCCAUAAUAACUCCCUUUUUAAUAACUUGUUAGAUCCUAAACAAGAGGUUAAAUUAUAUGGUACAAAAUCACGCUCUACUCGCAAAGGAUAAAAGCGAUUACCCAAUAUCUCAAGUCUCACUCCCUUGUUAUAAUAGACUAAGGUGAUAUGAUGGAAGAACAUCCAAUUCAUACACAACAUCCUGUCAUAAUUAAUCUAUACUAAAGCUACUAGUGUUAAUUCAUGACUAGAUAAUAAUUGUGUCAUAGCUGCCAAGGACGACCCCUCCUGUUAUUGCAUACUCAACCACAUUGAAAGUACAUUUUACCCUCUUUGAAAAAAAAUUCAGAUUGAAAUCAACCUUUAGAGUCAAAAUUAUUCUAAGGAAAAGUGAAUUAUCUAUAUGCCCCAUAAUCUAAUCUACGACUCUACACUGUGUAAAAAAAAUUUGUCUACUAGAACUAUUUCUCUUGUGAUACUAAUAUUUGUUGUGCCUUGAAAGUUCUGCAAAACGAGUUUUGUUCUUUGAAAUUGACAUAACCUCAGUUUGUUUAAAUCCCUCAUAGUCAUAAUUUAAACCAUCUCCAAAACUUUCUAGAAGAAAACGAGUCAUAAACAAUCAAGAGAUCUCACUCCAUACCAACGUCGAUGAUCCUAUUUGUACAGGUAAGUGUAUCAAACAAGUCAUAUACCAAAUCCUCCAACUUAAAUGAUGUCAACUUCACUGCCCUUAUAUCUGAGCAUCCUAACGCUUUUUAUAACCUCUUUAGAUAGUCAAUGAAUUUAAGUGGAUCCUCACGCACACUCGACGUAGAAAAGGUAAGGGUUUAAGUAUCAUGAAUUUCUCUAUAUCAACAUCAAUCUCUCUAGAUGGGGUUAUCGUCUAGUACUCACCCUGGCUAACUACUUGUGACCCAUAAAUAUUUUUUUGUCUUAGAUUAUCGUUAUAAUGCUACUUCUCAACAACAAUCACAAUAAGUUAUUGCAAUACCUUUAGCAAUAUUCGUCUUCCUCUAGGCAUCUCAACACUAAAUACUACUACUACAACCAAUCACGUCCGUCGACAUGAACGCCGCAUCCUCGAUCAUCUACUUUAAAUCGACAACGAGUACGUACGAAUCAUAACCUCUUUAACUAGGUUGGGAAGUAAACCAUAAGGAAAAACUUCGCUUCUAGUGGAGAUCCUAGUGUUGGGUGGCGUCCUCACCAAAUGAAAGAAAAUUGACCGAAUAUUGGACAAGACGACAAACAGAUGUAAACAAAUCAAAGACCAAAAGAGAGAUGAUAGGAUUGGACAACAAGUGAGACAGAGACUACCAUAGAGUACUAAUAGCUUCUUGCAAGUAAAUGGUGCCGCGGUUCACAAUUUACUAGCAAAAAUCUAUUAUCACUCUAUGUCUGCAGCUAUUAGGAUCUACAACCGAGCUCUGAUACCAACUUUGUCACGACCCAACUCUAAUCGUGACCGGCGCACGAACUAAUACUAGUCCGGCAAGCCUAAUGACC
rnacentral:lncRNA from 1 species